GAAGCAAAAUCCCCGAGCUCAGUGAGUAGGGAAAGCAGCCCGAGCCACGGCAUUCCCUCUAGUCCCCGCCUCCGAGUCUUCGCAGAUGCUGGUUCAGCUUAACAAGAGGGGCUAGGAUCCCUGAAGCCCCAGUCCCAUGACUCAGGGGUUCCUGGUCGGUUCUCCCUGCCAGGAUUCCGGUUUCUAUCAGCGAACGGCCCCCUGCCCUGCUCCAGGUCCCUCCUCCUGCGUCCGAGUUCCCCUGCAGGCCUCGGCCUCAGCCCGCCUAGUCACUCUCGCUUCGUCUCCCUGACUGUCUGCAGGCCUGGAUAGCAUGGCCGUAUUCCGCUCAGGCCUCCUGGUGCUGACAACGCCGCUGGCCACCCUGGCCGCACGCCUGCCUCCCAUCCUGACCUCGGCGUCACACCUGGUGAAUCACACCCUCUAUGUGCACCUGCAGCCGGGCAUGAACCUGGGGGGACCCGCUCAGCCCCAGCCCAGCCCUGUGCAGGCCACAUUUGAGGUUCUGGAUUUCAUCACGCACCUCUACACUGAUGAGUGGGCAGCAGCUGGUAGAGCAGAGCCACGUGGUUCUGUGCACCUUGUGGGAAUCACAUGUCACACAGCGCCAGGUGGAAAAGGCUUGGGAUCUUCUACAGAAACGCCUCCCCAAGGCUCACCAGACCAGGAACUGACAGUGGAUUUUCUGUGGCGCCACACUGGCCCUUGGAACUAACAAAUCUAAUGGUGAGGAGGAAUGGGGGCCUCGAUGUUUACCCUAUGUCAGGCCUCAGGGGCUUCAAGCUGAGCUGUGCAGGACACAGAGAGAAGCUUGGAAGUCGGCCUAGCAUGCUGGAAUUUGGCCAGCAAUGAGGACACAGCAAUGGGGAGCGGCCCCCUCUUGGGUUCUGUCUGCUUUUUGGUGGUGGAGAUUUGAUGUCUAACUAGUGUUAUGGGUUGUAGUGAAGACUGGACCCAGUAACUAAAUUAAAGAUGUUUCCAAGU
rnacentral:lncRNA from 1 species